ACGCUCGACACCUACGGGCGGCAGCAGUGGGGAAUAUUGCACAAUGGGGGGAAACCCUGAUGCAGCAACGCCGCGUGAAGGAAGACGGUUUUCGGAUUGUAAACUUCUGUUCUUAGUGAAGAUAGUGACGGUAGCUAAGGAGCAAGCCACGGCUAACUACGUGCCUGCAGCCGCGGUAAUCUGAGCGGGCUGGCAAGGC
rnacentral:rRNA from 1 species